CAUGUAGCAUCUUCCCUAAAGGUGGCAGUUGCCCAGUCGUACCGAUGGCAGACUGUAUGGAAACUCCAACAAGGAACUGACCCUUACUGGCACUUCGCUCAGGUCACGGUCACGCAAGACGUGCCCUUCCAGGUCAGCCCACGGAAAUGAAAACAAGCUUGGUUUUGGUGAUAAAUACACAUGUAAAAUGAACUAAACAGAGGAGUUAGUCGCAUGGAGAUACCUAAAAAAAGGAAAGUUGAAGCUGAACCAAAAUAAUAAUAAUAAAAAAAACAUAUUUUACUUUCAGAUUGUGGUCAUAGGAGAAUUGAAUCCCGAGGCCAAAUCUUAUCUCAGCGUGGACGACAUCUUCUAUGAAAAGAACUUCGCGUGCAAUGGCCAACUGGUGCCAGAGACAGCUGACCCGAUUACGCAAGCCGUGAGCGACCUAACCUGCAAAUUCCAAGGGAAGUUCUGCAAAUGGACGCCAACGCCAGAGUUCCAAGACGGCCAGACAGACCAGGUUCACGACGACCUUGGGAAGGGAAAAUACGCCUUCGUGACAGUCAACGAGACGGUUGAGAAACCUUACCAUCCCUACCUCGAGUCCGUCCCUAUUGCUGCUAACUCGAAUGACAAUCAAACCUAUUGCCUGCAUUUCUGGUAUUAUAUGUUUGGCGUAAACAACCCUUGGCUGACAGUGGAGCGCUAUAUCUUUAGAGAUCACUGGGGCAACAAGACGGGCCCUGAAUUCAUCUGGGAGAGAACUGCUGGUUAUGUAGACAAAUGGCAGAAAGGAUAUGUGGACAUCAACACCACACA